GCUUCUGUAGCUCAACCACCAUAGAGCUUGGCACUGAAGCUGCCAGGACGGGCCCUAGCCCCAGAAACA
rnacentral:tRNA from 1 species